UAAGUGAAUAGUGAAAUCUGGCGGCUCAACCGUACAGGCUAUUAUUCAAACUGGCAAACUCGAGAAUGGUAGAGGUAACUGGAAUUUCUUGUGUAGGAGUGAAAUCCGUAGAUAUAAGAAGGAACACCAAUGGCGUAGGCAGGCUACUGGACCAUUUCUGACGCUAAGGCCGAAAGCGUGGGGAGCGAACCGGAUUAGAUACCCGGGUAGUCCACGCCGUAAACGAUGGAUGCUA
rnacentral:rRNA from 1 species